rnacentral:ncRNA from 1 species
CGUCAUACGGGAGGCUCUGAUCCGCCGGCGGCACGUUGCGGCCACCAAACACCGGCGGGGAGCCACUGGUGAGACCGGCCCGAGGGUCG